rnacentral:rRNA from 1 species
GACGAACGCUGGCGGCGUGCUUAACACAUGCAAGUCGAACGGAAAGGCCCUGCUUUUGUGGGGUGCUCGAGUGGCGAACGGGUGAGUAACACGUGAGUAACCUGCCCUUGACUUUGGGAUAACUUCAGGAAACUGGGGCUAAUACCGGAUAGGAGCUCCUGCUGCAUGGUGGGGGUUGGAAAGUUUCGGCGGUUGGGGAUGGACUCGCGGCUUAUCAGCUUGUUGGUGGGGUAGUGGCUUACCAAGGCUUUGACGGGUAGCCGGCCUGAGAGGGUGACCGGCAACAUUGGGACUGAGAUACGGCCCAGACUCCUACGGGAGGCAGCAGUGGGGAAUAUUGCACAAUGGGCGGAAGCCUGAUGCAGCAACGCCGCGGGCGGGAUGACGGCCUUCGGGUUGUAAACCGCUUUCGCCUGUGACGAAGCGUGAGUGACGGUAAUGGGUAAAGAAGCACCGGCUAACUACGCG